GCAAACAGCCGGUGGAAGAGCGCACUCUCGGCCGCGGCCAAGAGCUUGCGGGGGGAAACUCGUAGGUUUUUACUAUUCUUAACAUCAAUCCUGCGAAAAAAAAA
ensembl:ncRNA T25D3.6 ncRNA